rnacentral:rRNA from 1 species
UGAUAUCAGGCAUAUACCCAAAACAUCUAGCCACGCCACCCCCACAAGGGCUCACAGCAGUGAUUAACAUUAAAAAUAAACGCAAGUUUGAUUUAGCCAAAUGAAAACAGAGCCGGCCAAUCUAGUGCCAGCCGCCGCGGUUACACUACAUGACUCAAAUUGAUUUCUAAACGGCGUAAAGCGUGAUUAAAGAACCUGACUAUUGGGGCCAAACUUAGAUUAACCUGUAAAACGAUUAUUCUUAAGAAGAUCUCCCUCGAAAGACACCCCAACUCACCAACUUGAACUCACAACAACUAGAACACAAACUGGGAUUAGAUACCCCACUAUCUCUAUUUAUAAACUUUAACUUACACCCCCAUCGCCAGGGAACUACGAGCAAAGCUUAAAACCCAAAGGACUUGACGGUACCCCACAUCCCCCUAGAGGAGCCUGUCCUACAACCGAUUCCCCCCGUUUUACCUCACCAUUUUUAGUCUAUCAGCUUGUAUACUUCCGUCGUCAGCCUACCGCAUGAGCGAACAAGUCGGCUUAAUAUAUCCACCAAUACGUCAGGUCAAAGUGCAGCUCAUAAAAUGGCAAGAGAUGGGCUACACUCUCUAACUUAGAAGAUACGAAAGGCUAUGUGAAACCAUAGCCAGAAGGCGGAUUUAGCAGUAAGGGGGGAACAGAAUACCCCUCUUAACUCUGAUACUGGGGUGCGUACACACCGCCCGUCACCCUCUUCAACAAGCCCCCCCCCC